AAACCAUGAUUAGGACAUUUCCUCAGCAACACUUGAAAACGUUCCCAAGCUUCAUAGAAAGCUUCAUCCACACCUUGUCGGAAAGUUGAUAUCUCAAACUUUGCAU
rnacentral:snoRNA from 1 species